GAUGAACGCUGGCGGCGUGCCUAAUACAUGCAAGUCGAGCGAACGGACGAGAAGCUUGCUUCUCUGAUGUUAGCGGCGGACGGGUGAGUAACACGUGGAUAACCUACCUAUAAGACUGGGAUAACUUCGGGAAACCGGAGCUAAUACCGGAUCAUAUUUUGAACCGCAUGGUUCAAAAGUGAAAGACGGUCUUGCUGUCACUUAUAGAUGGAUCCGCGCUGCAUUAGCUAGUUGGUAAGGUAACGGCUUACCAAGGCAACGAUGCAUAGCCGACCUGAGAGGGUGAUCGGCCACACUGGAACUGAGACACGGUCCAGACUCCUACGGGAGGCAGCAGUAGGGAAUCUUCCGCAAUGGGCGAAAGCCUGACGGAGCAACGCCGCGUGAGUGAUGAAGGUCUUCGGAUCGUAAAACUCUGUUAUUAGGGAAGAACAUAAGUGUAAGUAACUGUGCACAUCUUGACGGUACCUAAUCAGAAAGCCACGGCUAACUACGUG
rnacentral:rRNA from 1 species